AGAAUGAAUAUGUAGAAUUUGUUUUUGUCUCUCCCAACCACCCACACCCAAGGGAGAAUAGGACCUAUCCAUGCUUCAGUGAUGGUGAGCAGGCCGGUUAGCCUCUGUGAACCUCUGUAUCCGUAUCUGUAAAAUGGGCAGAUUAAUCAUUCUCACUUGGCAGCCUUGCUAACUCCAUCAAGCAGCUAUCAAGUGUUAAAACUUUCAAAGUAAACAGCAGGCAUCAAAAAGAACGAGGAAGCUUCACAUGCACUGAUGGGGGAAAAGCUUCAAGAAACAUUGAAACUACGUGUCGGCUUCUGGCACCAGUGUCCCAAGAGUUUCUAUUUAGAUUUCCAGCUCUUGCUUUAGGCAGGUAUUUUGGAAAAGAGGUUGCUGAGCUUGAAGCAGAGGACGAUCUCGGUCUUCAUGUAACGAAGUCUCCUGUGAGAUGAAGGGCUCUGAGAAAUGAAGAGGUUUCUUGCCCAAAGCAUUGUUCUUUCUUUCAAUUCUGGGGUCUUCUUGCAAAGUUUGGUUCUUGGUGGACGUGGAUGGUGUGAAACGGACGUGGAGGCAGCUGUAAUGUUUGAAAGAGGGGGGAGGGGAAGCAGAGAUGGACCAGAGAUGGACCUUCCCUGGAGGUGCUGGAGGAUUAGAUGAUGCCAUGGAGGGGGGACCUCUGGAGAGGUGGGACUCAACUAUUCUUGUCCUUGAGAUGCUUCUGAAUCUCUCUCUAUUUGUGGUAGCUG